CGGAGCUCGUCCCAGGGCCCCGCCGCAGCCCCCCAGCCCCCUGCAUGCGUGGCCGGCAGGCGGGGGGCGAGCGGCCCCGGCCCGGACCCGCCGGGGGGCUCCGAGCGAGCGCAGCCGCCACACGCCGGGGCGGGCAGCGCACCCACCUGCGCGGCCACUGCCCGGGCGACGGAGCCCGACGGCGGCUGCUCCCGGGCAGCCCCCCAAACCCGGGGGGCAGCCCGCUGCAGGACACCCCCGCCCCGCCAUAACAACCACCUCACGGAGGCGCAGCCCCUCCUCCGCCUCCCCCGCGCCAGGGUCGGGCACCGCUGCCGGCACCAGACACCCCUCCGGGGCAGCCUGCCGCAGCCGGCGGCUCCGCACCCUCCCCUGCCCCGCUAGGGGGACAGACCCAGCGGCAGCGACCGCGACCGCCCCGGCCCCGCGCUCACCGCCCGCCGGGCUCCCGCCUCAGGCCGCCGCGCCGGGCUACGCCGCUGCCUCCCGCCGCCCUCUCUUGCCGGCGGUGCAGCCGCAGCCCCAGCAGCACAAUAUGGCGAGCGGCAGGCUCCGCAAUGGAGCUCGGGAAAUAGAGGGGAGUUACAUAUUCAUGGCCGGGGCUGGGCAGGGGGAGCGCGGAUGGGGCUACCGAGACCGGGCCGCCCAGCGCCCUCCUCCCGCUCCCUCCCCGCCGGGGCGCGGCGGCGGCUGGGGGCCGCUCGCUCCUGUCCCCGCCUCCCCGCACCGCCGCCGCGGCCCCCUGCUCCCCGCCGCCGGGCAGCGCCCGGCCCGCGCUCCCGCUCCCCUUCCUCAGCGCCGGCGCCGGGCGAUGCGGCACCGAGCCCGGCGGGGCUGCCCGCCGCCGCCCUCCCCCUCAGCCCGCGGCCCCUCUCCGUUCACGGCCCCCGCCGGGGCUAAGCCCUCACCCCUGCCCCGAGCCGGCGCCGCGGGCCCGGAGCGGCUCCAGCCGCCUGCGGUGUCGCCGGCGGGGAGGGGUGCGCGCCCUGAGCUGUUCAUCAGUGCUGAGGAAAGGAAGAUGUCGUCUGUCAAGCUAUUGCUGUACCAGAAAGUGUCCUUUGGUGAAAAUUGCUUCACUUCAAUUGUCUGCAGUGCUGCAGUGAGUGAAGAAGAUCCUACAUUAAUGUACCACCGGUACCAUUAGCUUUUUUUUUGAGAUGAAGAAAGCUAAAUUAAUAUUAGGUCAUUGAAAGCUGGAAAAAUAAGACUUGCAAAAUGAAAGCAUGCAGUUGUGAGGAAGGCAAAUCUCCAAACGCGGAUGGAGUAUAAGGUGAGUUGGAAGCAUCUGGUGAAAUGCAAAACUAUAGUGGCAUGUAAAUUAACAACCUAUAAACAUUUUUAAGUACAUUUUGC
rnacentral:lncRNA from 1 species